GUGUGUUUCACUGACAGCACACUUGACUGGGAGCAGGGACAACGUGAUCUGGUCGUUGCUGCAUCACGUUACUAUAAGUGAUCUAGAUAAAACUACCUUACAUAACCGGGCUUCUGUGUUCCCUUUAAGCACUAAGUAUUUGAGUCUGAUUCAUAAAAUUUUAUUAGUACCACAGGGGAAUUUGUCUCCUGCCCUGAUGGAUACACCCCAUGCUAUACCCUGUUAUGUGGGGGGAUCUCUGAACUGAUCCCCUAAGUUCACUACACUCUCCAAAAUUGAAUGACCCCAUAUUGGGUACACAAGAGCAGCACCUGUCAGCAGACAGUCCACCCUAUUUUAUCUCUGCUGGCCCCCUUAUAACCUGGGGAAAAUCAAUUCCCCCUUUGACAUUUCAUGGCCUUAAAGGAAAUGCCGCAUUGAGGGGAAUGGGCAGCCGGGACUUGGGGACUGCUGGCUGGAUGCGAGGGACCAAGCUCAGCUGACAUGUUUCUUUGAUUUUGAUCAUGCUUAUGGCUUCAGCUCACAGAUGCACAUUAUUUGCUUAUGUUUUCCAAAUCCCAUCAAUCUCUUCAUGAGCCUUUGCGUUGCUGGUUGAGUGUCCUUCCUCAGUUUGUGUCUGAGAAAAUGAGAAGAGGAGAAGAAGCCCUUGAACAUGUAAUAGCACACUUCUGCCACCAAAACUCAGGCAGUGGGGUUUCUUUUUUCAUUAAGAACAUUUGUGUAAAACUGUACUCUGCAAUAUCAAGAUGACUCUUGUUCUGGGUUGGGGCACAGGAGGAUCUGAUGGAAGACUUUUCUUGAGGAUCUAGUGAAGGAUAAAAGCAUAGGCAUGAAUGACAAGGUAGGUCAUUCUGUCCUCCUCUGAUCAUGUGAUGACUUCUCUUCUUAUUGCCUGACCCUGAAUAUGAUCAAAGAUUCAGGUUUAGGCACUAGAAACAGCUUUUCGUGAUCCCUAUGGAAAUGUCUUGGCCAUGUUCAGGAACGCAGGAGUCAGAUAUUCCAGGGCAGGGAGGUCUGGUGUUAUCUCUGAUUUGGAGCCAGCUGGUCCCUACAGGAGCCUGAGAUUCUGGCAGUCUUUGGUGACAGAUGAUAGUCUGGGUGCUUGUUUAUUUUCAACAAAGAGCCAAGUCCAGGGAGUCUGGGAAGUGGACAUCCAAGGUGUCAGCAUGCUGGACUGGACUUCCCAGGAGCACAUGGACCUAACUCCACCAAGCAGGAGAGCCUGACUCUUCCUGAACCACCAGAGAACACUUCAUGCCUGAGGCUGGCUUGCAGCACUUGAGGCAGUGAGCCCCAGAGCGAAAGCUCCGAGUCACCCACCCUUCGUGUCAGGCAGCAUGACCAGAGACCUAGACACUCUAUGAUAUGCUCCCAAAUUCCUGUUUCCCUUUUCCUGUGGAAGUGGCUCACCCACUCUCAGCCACCCCAUUGCAUCCUCUGUCCUGUCAGCCUGUCUUCUGUGGGCUCCCACUCACUCAGGGCUGUCUUCUUUCCGUGUGAAUUAGGGCUGUGUCUGCAUGGCCCUGGGAGCCUUCCAUUUAUACCAGUGACUUUCGUCACGCUUCAGGGCAGAAACAUCCCUUAGGUACGGAGGAAUGGUUGAAUUUGAGUCUGGAUUUUAUACUUCGUUAAGCCUGAGAUCCUAACCUCUAUGAGCUUAAGUGCUUUCAUCUUUUAAAUGGGAAUAAUAACACCAACAUUUCAGUGUUGUUAAAAGAUUAAAUAUCAUAAUGUUUAUCAAAUAUCUGACAUGCAAAACACUUCUUAAUUGCUGCGAAUUCUUCUCUGAGAAAGGUAUAUCUACAGAAAGUUCUCCAGGACUGGUGUAAUCCUGAUGAAAAUGCCAUGUACACAAAGGCAGGAACUUAUUAACAGUGGCUCCUCACAUACUUUACCCCUAUUGCACUUGGGUUUGUCCGCUGACCUCUCUUGAGAUUUCUCCGUUAAGGGAACUCUUGAUACUUUUCUUCCCUUCCCCUUCCACCAGCUUCCUCCACCAAACACCCCAUCUGUGCCCUCCUUCCCCUUUCAGAAUCGCCUUUGGCACUUAUCUCAACCUUGUUUCUUCUGUACAGGAGCUGAGUGGAGAGGACUGUGUGGGGAGCACUCAGAUUUGUUUCUUAAUCCUGGCCCACAUCCCCAGGGGCCAACCUGGCCAACCCUAGAAGUGUUUUGCCCUCUCUGAGUUACUGGGAAGUACCUUCCAGAGCUGCUCUCAUUUUCUAAAGAAAUGGAAGCCUUUGUAUAUUUCCAAGAAACACCAGAAAAUAACUAAAAACAUGUAAUUUGGAAUGAUUCAGACCCAGACCCAAGCCUGGAGGCUCAUUUCCUAGGAUUGACUUGGGCCAACUGUUCAGCUGUGAAAUAGUAUGACCAUGACCAACGAAGGUGCCAGUCAUCCAGACCUUGGCCAUACAUCCAGCCGUGGAGCAGGGAUGGAGUCGGCUCCCAAACGAUACCACCCAGGAUCAGCCCACCUUUGGUCCCAGCGCUGGCUAUGUUGACAGAGAAGUACAUUUGGUUCUACUUGAAGGAACUGUCCCUAGUCUAAAUGGCCCCAGUAUUUAAAGUCUAGGUGGAGUUUGUCUCCUGAUCCCUUCAGCCCCCUGCAGUUCAGCACAUCCAGGAGGUGCCUGGUGAUCCACUUCUCAACAAGGCAUCACUUGCCAAUCAGUGAAAUGGGAAGAGCCCAUUCAGGAGAGGAAAGCGAGUGUGCCAAGAGAAGGAGGAGCAUGUGGAAAUGGCCUGAUCAGAACGAGACAGAAAUCAACUUGGUGCCUCACUCUAGUCCUGACCCCGUUACCACCAAAACAUCCCCACUGAGGAACUUCUAGUGGAUACAUUUCAAGAAGAAGGAAACUGACCCCAAGAAGAAGAUAUGAGGUAUAAAAAGAAAUUUAAUGAAAUACAAAAUGUCUAGACAAGUGUAGAUAUUUUGAAUGUAUAAAAAUUAAGAAAUGUUUAAUAUUCGGGCUAAAAAAGGAAAAGAUGGAGCUGGACAGCCAGAUGACAGCAGCGUCGGAGCCAGGAGGGGAUGACAGUUGUUCCGUGAUUCUCAUAUUGUACAAGAGGGUGAUGAUUGACCUAAGACAUGUGCCUCUUGGAAUUUCUCUGGCAGCUGCUUCCUGCUGCUUCCUGCUGGACUUCCACUGUGACCCUUGGUUUUCCCUGUCUUGCAUUUUGGCCUCAUGGAAACCCAGCUGCUCUCCUACCGGGGUCUACUGGGCUCUUCCACAUGAAAGGCCACAUGACCUGCAUCUUCAAGCCCUCCUCAGUAUCUUUGUAAAGAGCAUGUACCCAGAAAAUAUGUGCUUUAACACCUUAGACUCACAGUUUUGGUGGUUUUUUUUCUUUUGGCCCAAACUGAACAAAAAUGUUUGUUCUUCUAGAUUGAAAGAAGUAAACAAAGAAAAACAAAACUGUUUGUGCUUCUAGGCUGAAAAAGCUUUAUGAGGGUAAACCGAGACUCUUUGCUAUUGAAAUUCUAUUUCCAGGCACAUCCCUCAGCCCACGGUAAGUACUCAAAAUACCUUUCUUGAAUGGCUUUAUAACCAUUUUUUGAUGGAGAAAUGUAACAUAUGGUUAUUACCCUUUGGUUUUUCAUUUCUCUAGUCUGCAGAUAUUUGAUGAGCACUGAUUGUGACGGUUAAUUUUAGGUGUCAACUUGUCUGAAUUAAGGCAUACCUAGAGAACUGGCAAAGCAUUAUUUUUAGGUGGUUCUGUGAGAGUGUUUCCAGAGGAGAUUGGUAUGUGAGUCAGUGGACUGAGUGGGGAAGAUCAACCGUCAAUGUGGGUGGGCACCAUCCAGUCAUCUGGGGGCUGAGGGAGAAGAAAAAAGCAGAGGCAUGAUGAAUUCUUUUUCUCUCUCCUGGGGCUGGGAAAUGCUUCUUCUCCUGACCUUGGACCUCAGAACUCUAGGCUCUUCAGCCUUUGGGCUCCAGGACUUACAGCAGCCCUCCCUGGGUUCUCAGGCUUUUGUCCAUGAACUGAGAGUGACACCAUCAGUUUUCCUGGUUCCAAGGCCUUCGGACUUGAACUGAGCCACACUCGUGGCAUCCCUGGGUCUCCAGUUUGCCCGAUGAUCUAUUGUGGGAACUCUUCAUACCCAUGUGAGCCAAUUCUCCUAAUAGGUCGCCUCUCAUAUAUCUACAUCUAUAUUUUCUAUUGGUUUUAUCUUUCUGGAGAAGUCAGAUACACGUAUUACCAUCAAGCGCUGCUCUAAGUACUGCAGGGAUAGGCAAUGAUGAGCAAGCUAGAGACAGGAUUCCUGUUUUUAUGACCGUUGCUGUCCAGCCUCACGAUUUUUAAACCUUUCAAAUAGCACACACUCACCACACAAUAAUAAAAGUUUGAUGUAUCUGUAGUACACAUAAUGUACUCUGAUAUUUUCUAUUUUGUUCUUUUUUUUUCCUAAAGAAAAGGGGUCAUCACAACCUGCUAAGUUGAUUUUAUGACCCAUGACUGCUAGGAUGAUUCUUGCAGUUUGAAAACCAUUGAUCCAGUGCCGAGGUUUGAAGUCUCUUCUCUGUUGUGGAUUCCUAGGAAUCAUAUUUUACAAUGCACAAAACAACGUACAUAGGUUUAGAAAGGAAAUCCAUUCC